AUGUAAAAAAAAAUACCGGGCGUUAGGAAAAUUUCUUUUGAACUUUUGUUCGAAGUAAGCCCACAUGUCAUAAUAUUUUCCAUGAUUUUAUUGGGGAAAUUCCGUUAUAAAAAUCAAUUCAGGAUUUUUAAAGAAAUUUCUUUUUAAUUAAUCAACUGAUUCCAGUAAUUCUCUAGAAAUGUCAAAUUACAUAAUCCACCCAAAGUUUCAAAUUUUCUUCUUCUUAGGGUUGUUUCUGUGCUUUUUGGGUAAACUUUAACUCAAAAUUUAUUACCCAAUAUUUGCGAACCUUAAAAAAAUACAAUUUGUGCUUAUUCCACGACUGGGGUGAGAGGAGUCGAGAAUAGUCACUUCGCUCUCGAAUGAACUUUUGAUUGCGAUUCCGAGAGUCGACUCGAAUGAGGUGAGAAGUUCAUUUCUAUGCGAGCGACAAAGUGAAACUCACGUUUAGAUGUGUUCAUCAGCAGAAACGUCAAUCAUGAUAAGCUGCAUCACUUUCGAUUAGGGCGAAAUCAAAUUUGUAAACAUUGAGCGUUUAAGUCUGGUUUCUUGUAAACCAUUCAUCUUUUGCAGAGAUUUAUCGAUGUGUAAUUUAAUACAUAUCGAUUCAAAUCUAAUUGCAACAUGUUUUCGAAAUCAGUUUCAAAUAAGCUCAAAUUGUUGUUUUGUUGUGGGUGAAGAUGAAACCUAAUUCGCCCUAAUCGCAUUUUGUUCCUUGUAUACAAUCAAACUUUGAAACCACAACAAAGUGAAACAAAAUUGUUCUCGGAUUUGCUUUGUGGAUUUGAGGAACAAACCAAUCGCAUUGGUGCGCCGUACUUAUGCAAGCUGAAACAACAGAAUGAGCCGCCGGGAAGUGAUGAUACCACUGAACUGUCCUCUGGAUCUGCCUUCGGGUAGGAACUCCUACGCUGCCCAUAACUGCAUCUGCAU